GCAUGCGCGAAUCAGUCUGCCGUAAAGGAACAUAUGAAAAAUUUAUCAGUGAUAAAACUUGUGUAAAAAACUUUGAUAAAAGAACUUAGAAAACUUUAAUAAAGUUUUUUAGUAUUCGAGGUUAAUUGUUCUUAUCAUUCUUUAUUAUCCGGAUUUCAAUUGGAAACCGAAUCCUAUUGCUGUAUUACAAUAUUUGAACACAGUGCAACAGCAACAGCAAACUCUUCUCGUGCAC
rnacentral:lncRNA from 1 species